rnacentral:lncRNA from 1 species
GUCUUGGAGACGUUUUUGUUUCAGUUUUUUGUUUCCCUUCCGUAGUCAGGUUGCAGCUCAACAUCUGGCCAUGGCGCACUCCCUAGCGACGCUGCUUCCAUUUGCUGCUGCUCUUGCCUCUGCACCCGAGGGGCCGCGAGUCUCUCUCACUUCGGAAGCCCGUGUGCUGCAGGGCGCGCGUCUCAGGGGUCACGAAUGCGCUCUGGACGGUGGCGCUGCUGCGGACUCGCAAGGAAUUGGUAAUGGCGUAGCUGGGGUUGGCCGGCGUGCUGCUUUGGCGGCUGCUGCCGCGUCUGCUAUGCUGUUUUUCGUUGCGGAGGAUUCGAAAGGUGAGACCUCUGCGUGAUUAUUCUAGGAUGGUUUUCGAGGUUGAGCCAUUCCGCUUCUAGGAAUGCGGUGUUUAUUGAAUUUGUCAAGUUUACAGGUGUCCGUUCCCAGGGAUAUAGACCAUUUUCGUUCAGGCAAUUCAAAUAAGUGAUACAUACCUUAAAUCGAAUAGCUUCCGGGGAAUUUUGAAAGAGAUGGUUGACUGGAAAGCAAUGUGAUAGUUGUAUGCAUCUUGCGAUUAUUCUUUCAGCGGAUUUGAGCGUGGGAAUUCGGUCUAAUGCGCAGUUGUUUUGUUGUGAUUUCAGCAGCUGAUGCAGGAGUUUUGAGCAAGUACAUCAAGAGGUGGGCGCUUGCAAGUAUGUUGUCUUUGUAUCGACAGUAACUUGAAUUUCGCAGAAAUGUUGGUCGUGGUUGUUUAUCUACAUCUCAAUUCGGCUCAAUCCAAGAAUCUUUUCUCGUAGGAAACUCUGGAUACAUAGCUGCCGAACUCUGCGAAGCCACCGUAACUGAGACAGAAUUAGGAAACCGGAUUUUCAUCCUUAGCAAAUGAUGAGAUGGAAUCAUGAUGCAUUUGUCCUUCUGUGAAGCUAAAUUCUGAUUCCUCUAACAAGUUUGCGUACAUAUCAUCAGGAAGAAGCUUGAUCCGCUAGACACCUAUGUUCCAACAGUUCUAUUGGCACAAAUCCAGUUUCAGGAUGUUGGUACGUGUUUUAGGAUGAUGGAUUUCUAACCGAGUGAAUUAAUGUCUUCCUCAGCUUCACAUUCAUUCUGUUGCUCAUUCUGAGUACUCUCCAUGCCUGCAAAUUGCAGUAGUGAACGAAUUUCACCUCUGUUGAUUAACAAUGCAGUAUUAUUUAGAACGAUGCUUAGGAGCAGUACAUAUAAUAACUGCUCGUUUGAGAUAUUGGUGUACGACCCAUGUGGUGAAAUGUGCCGUUAAUUUAUGCCAUCUAAUAGGGUUUUAUGCAUUUUGACUCGCAGAUGAGAAACUGGUUGGAGAUAAGCCCGAUUUUGCUGAUGCACGGUCUAUGUUGAGAAACGGACCUGCUGGUUCUCUUCGCAAUGAUAUUCGUGCGGUAUGUCCCUGUCCUCCAUCCUGCCUCUUUCUGAUCAUAAUCCUGGCUCUUAAGCAUCAUCUCAACCUCAGUUUUGGAAAUUAUGUUCCAAAGAUUGUUCGAGACCUUGUACAAUGGAAAGAACGUAAUAAUUUGACAUAAAUUGGGAGGAUGUAGUUUUACGAAGAUAAUGUAACUCUCUGUGAUCAUGUGAUCAUUUUCCAAACCGCGGACCCUAAUGCAAAUUUAGGGGUU